rnacentral:rRNA from 1 species
GAUGAACGCUGACAGAAUGCUUAACACAUGCAAGUCGAUGGGGAAGUGGUGCUUGCACCCUGGCAACCAUGGCGGACGGGUGAGUAACGCGUAAGGGACUUACCUGCAGGACUGGGAUAACAGGGGGAAACUCCUGACAAGACCGGAUAAUGUCAUGGAGCUGCAUGGCUUUAUGAUGAAAGGAGACGCCUGCGGAGAGCCUUGCGUCCUAUUAGCUAGUUGGUGAGGUAAUGGCUCACCAAGGCGAAGAUAGGUAGCCGGCCUGAGAGGGUGGACGGCCACAAGGGGACUGAGAUACGGCCCUUACUCCUACGGGAGGCAGCAGUGGGGAAUAUUGGACAAUGGGGGCAACCCUGAUCCAGCAAUUCUGUGUGCACGAAGAAGGUUUUCGGAUUGUAAAGUGCUUUCAGCAGGGAAGAAGUAAGUGACGGUACCUGCAGAAGAAGCGACGGCUAAAUACAUG